UACGUAGGGGGCAAGCGUUGUCCGGAUUUAUUGGGCGUAAAGAGCUCGUAGGUGGUUCGGUAAGUCGAAUGUGAAAUCUCCAGGCUCAACCUGGAGGGGUCAUUCGAUACUGCCGUGACUAGAGUUCGGUAGGGGAGUGUGGAAUUCCUGGUGGAGCGGUGAAAUGCGCAGAUAUCAGGAGGAACACCCGUAGCGAAGGCGGCACUCUGGGCCGAUACUGACACUGAGGAGCGAAAGCGUGGGGAGCGAACAGG
rnacentral:rRNA from 1 species